rnacentral:rRNA from 1 species
AUUGAACGCUGGCGGCAGGCCUAACACAUGCAAGUCGAGCGAGUGGCGGACGGGUGAGUAAUGUCUGGGAAACUGCCUGAUGGAGGGGGAUAACUACUGGAAACGGUAGCUAAUACCGCAUACCAUCAGAUGUGCCCAGAUGGGAUGAGCGAGUAGGUGGGGUAACGGCUCACCUCGGCGACGAUCCCUAGCUGGUCUGAGAGGAUGACCAGCCACGCUGAAACUGAGACACAGUCCAGACUCCUACGGUAGGCAGCAUGGGGGAAUAUUGCACAAUGGGCGCAAGCCUGAUGCAGCCAUGCCGCGUGUGUGAAGAAGGCCUUCGGGUUGUAAAGCACUUUCAGCGGGGAGGGGUUACCCGCAGAAGAGGCACCGGCUAACUCCGUGCCAGCAACCGCGGUAAUUC